rnacentral:rRNA from 1 species
CCUACGGGAGACAGCAGUGAGGAAUAUUGGUCAAUGGACGAGAGUCUGAACCAGCCACGUAGCGUGAAGGAUGACUGCCCUCUGGGUUGUAAACUUCUUUUAUAUGGGAAUAAAAUGUUCCACGUGUGGGAUUUUGUCUGUACCAUAUCAAUAAGGAUCGGCUAACUCCGUGCCAGCAGCCGCGGUAAUACGGAGGAACCUAGCGUUAUCCGGAUUUAUUGGGUUUAAAGGGAGCGUAGGUGGAUUGUUAAGUCAGUUGUGAAAGUUUGCGGCUCAACCGUAAAAUUGCAGUUGAAACUGGGAGUCUUGAGUACAGUAGAGGUGGGCGGAAUUCGUGGUGUAGCGGUGAAAUGCUUAGAUAUCACGAAGAACUCCGAUUGCGAAGGCAGCUCACUGGACUGCAACUGACACUGAGGCUCGAAAGUGUGGGUAUCAAACAGGAUUAGAUACCCCGGUAGUC